rnacentral:rRNA from 1 species
GUCGGGGACAACCACUGGAAACGGUGGCUAAUACCGGAUAUGCCGAGAGGUGAAAGAUUUAUUGCCUGGAGAUGAGCUCGCGUCUGAUUAGCUAGUAGGUGUGGUAAGAGCGCACCUAGGCGACGAUCAGUAGCUGGUCUGAGAGGAUGAUCAGCCACACUGGGACUGAGACACGGCCCAGACUCCUACGGGAGGCAGCAGUGGGGAAUUUUCCGCAAUGGGCGAAAGCCUGACGGAGCAAUACCGCGUGAGGGAGGAAGGCUCUUGGGUUGUAAACCUCUUUUCUCAAGGAAUAAAAAAAUGAAGGUACUUGAGGAAUAAGCAUCGGCUAACUCCGUGCCAGCAGCCGCGGUAAUACGGAGGAUGCAAGCGUUAUCCGGAAUGAUUGGGCGUAAAGGGUCCGCAGGUGGCACUGUAAGUCUGCUGUUAAAGAGUGAGGCUUAACCUCAUAAGAGCAGUGGAAACUACAGAGCUAGAGUGCGUUCGGGGUAGCAGGAAUUCCUGGUGUAGCGGUGAAAUGCGUAGAGAUCAGGAAGAACACCGGUGGCGAAAGCGUGC